UGGGCCUUUCUCCCAUAUUUCCUGAUAACCCCCUGCAGAAAUAGACAAACACCAAAACUCGUGGAAUUCUGUCAGAUAAAACCCUAAGUCUGGGUGUUGGUUGCAUUUGGAUCCUUUUCUUUAUUUAUUUGAUGAUUAUAUUUGGUACUUAAGGACCGUCAACAACUCCCCCAAGCUUACCUCUUGCUCGUCCCUAAGCAAGGAUGUGCUCAAGAGUUUCUGCAGUGGUUUCAUGCUUUAAAAGUACACAUGCAUUCAAGCAAGAUCUCAUAUCUGAGUUAGAGUAAACUGUUAAGACUUAAAACUUACUCAUUUUACCUUUCACCAUGGGGCUUGUAAUCGUCACUUGUGUCUUGAGUAGUUAAAAGAUAGAACGGUCAAGUUAAGCGCCAUGUCGCUUAUUCUUGAUCAGCUAUAGCUCUGGAGUUUUUGUAGAUUUUCAAGUAAAACUUAGAGAUUCCUUGUAUGACUCUCUCUAGUCUCUCUUUUGUGGUAUUUAUGGAUCCUUACCAAGGCAGUAAUGGUAUAUGCCUUCUCUCAAAGUAUGUGGUAUUUUUGGUAUAAGGCAUAGUGAUAUUGCCUUCUCUCUCACCCUACUCUAAUAAGGUUUUGAUAUCUGGAGCUCAUAGUUGGGAGACAGAUAAUACAUACUUACAAGACAUUUAUUGCAUAGUCAAACCAUGGAUCUAGAGAAACAAGUCAAUAAGUCAAAUCAAGAUGUGCAUGUGUGGCGAGUGAAUGGUGUAUGGUGAUGAUGGUGACAACAAUGGUGAAAGUCUAAUUCUAGUUUUUGCUCUUUUAAGGGGAUACAUACCUUUCUUGCUCUUUAGAAACUUUUUUGAGGAGAAUGAGAUGCUCUAUAUUUUCUUUUUCUUUCCUCUCAGGUGGGUAUCUCGUACCCCUAAUUCUACUGUCGGACACUUGUCCAUUUUUACCUCUCGUCUCACUUUUUCUUUUCUUUCGAGGUUCCGGGCACUUGCCUAUUUUUAUUUCCUCGUAUCCUUUUUCUUUUCUUUUUUUAGAGCACUCAUCUCUUGAAAUAAUAUAGCAAGUGGUAGUAACCAAGAUAACUCGAGCAUUUAUUUCAUAGGAAAAAAUAGGAAUAGGAGAAUGUUUUUGGCUAUUCUCUCCCGGAUUAGGAGUAGAAUAAUUUUAGAUGAAUCUGGAGAUGGAAGUGAGUGGAUAUAUGUGGAUGCUUACUUCCAGAAUAGAAGUAGCAUGUAUGAGUGAACGUGCAAGUGGAUCUUGAUUUUAACUGCAUGACAAGCUCCUAAGGGUCUACACAGCUUGACCACACUCAAUGCUCAUAAGCAGUAAAAAGUAAAUGUGUGGCUCAAAGUCUAGCUAGCAUGUAUAUAUGGCUGUGGUAGGAAUUUAAACUCUCAUCAUACAGGAACUCAUCAUGUGUUAUUUUAAAGAUUUUCAAAGAUAAAAUUCUCCAGAAUUCUAGCAUCUCUAGGAACAGAAAAACAGCAGCUCAACCUUCCCAUAUCAUAUUCGUUAACAACUUAGACUUCAGAUCAAGUACUCUUCCCACAAGUUCAGGCUUAGAGCAGGUUUAAAUUAUAACAGUUAUGCCUAAACUAGAGAGAGAUUUCAAUUUUGAGAACUAGUCAUGGCAGAGCAACUAUUCAUCAUUUCCAUGUGAGAGCUUAUCAUGAGGGUUCAUAACAAACUUUAUUUAUUUAUUUAUUUAGCAAACUAAGCAAAGAUAUAUAUAUAUAUAAGCUCAAAAAAUCAUUAAUUGGGUUUUCAUGAUUAUGCAUCUUUUUAUUAUUUGAGUAAAGUAUAAACGCGAGUAGAAACACUUAGCUGGAUAAAUGGGGGUGCUCUCCCCCAAGUUGGAUUUUGACGUAAUUUCUUCUCAUGUAGCUAGCGGGUGGCGGAGGUUUAUUUGAAUGUCAGCAGCAUCCUCACAGCGAUUAGGAUGUCCUCCGUCUUCUAGUCUUCUUUGAUCCUUGAAUUCUGUGGAGCUCAAAUAGACAACAAAGCUUUGUGGAACUGAUUAGGUGUUAGCAUAAAUAUCUAGCCUUUAUCAUGUUGAGCCUCUUUAAUAAAUGUUAUUUAUUUAGCAGGAUCAUGCACUUAUUAUUUUUAUAUUUUUAUUGUAAGAUGAAAACAUAUUUAUUUUAUGCCACCACAGUGAAUGUACUUAUGGGUUUUAUGCCAUGAGCAUACUGACAUGGGGCUUACUAUUUUUAACAUUUUUAUUUUCUUUUCAAGAUGAUAUGAACUUGAUUAACUAAGCAAACUAUUUUAAAUAAUUGAAAGGAAAAAGGUAACUACCAAGUUUACGUCUUGGUAAGGCGUUCAGUGUUUUUGAGUCCUCCGAACGGGACUCUCCGUUUUCUCAAUCGUCCUGGGAUUUGCUGGGUGGCGUAGUCGGUGGUUCCGGCGGCGCCUCCUCUUCGUGUAUAACUAUCUUUUCUUUCUGACUCGAUGCUAUGGUCUCCUCAGGACAGUUCUGUUCAAGCUGUAUGUCUUCAGACCUUAUCACUUCUCCUUCGUAGUCUACCCAUCUGUCCUUGAUGAUUUGCCUCCUCUGGUUUCGGUUGUGUCGCCUUCUUCAGAGGAAAGUGCAUGUGGACUUCUCCAGUUCCAAUAUAAAUGAUGGCUUUGAUGGUGUUGAGGAACGGUCUUCCAAGGAUGGUGGGUGGAUCGUACUCGUCUUCUCCCAUGUCGAUGACCUGAAAAUCAUGUGGAGCUGAAUGUAUGUUGGUUGUAGGGGCAUGGUUCCAUGCAGGAGGUGAUAAGUGACUACGGCCAUUAUGUUGACGUCAGAUCCGGUGUCUUUAGAGUGUCUUCUGAAAAAGAGUAUCUGUUGAUUGUGCACUCGAUGCUUGGAACACCAGGGUCGUCCGUGUUCAUCCUUUAGGUGCAUCAUUUGAUUAGGUGUGUUUCUUGACAUCUGUACUUCUGAUACGGUGUCACCCAUGUUCUCCGUUUGCCCAGCAGUUCGAGGUGUGGCAUUAGUAGCAUCCUGCUCAGUGUGUUUGUGCUUGUAGAUCCAGGUUCUUCACUUGGUGGAGUCUGGGAGUUGUAAAACUCCUUCAUAUUUUGCUUGAAGUGUACCUGCUCAUAGAGACAAGACAGAGAUCAAGUGCAUGGGCCCUGUUGGUGGAAAACACCAACAGAACCAAAAGUAUAUUUAUUCUUCUCUAUCCCUAAGCAUAGGGAGCAAGACAAAGUUGAUGGGUGAUAAGUUCAUGAGUGUAGCAUUUAAAACAUUUGUCAAAUCAGAUCGCUCAACCUUAUGGAAAGGUAAUCUAUCUAUAUUUAUGUUUUGUUUAUAUCUUCCAAAGAUUAAAUGUGCAACAUUUGCGCUUACUAGGAACAAAGAUUAAAGGACUAAACAUGAUGAAUCAGUUGAGUUGGUUAAUUUGGAGUUAUAAAUCUUACAUGUUUGUCUCUUUAUUUUAUGCGAAUGCCAGAACCAAGGAGAAACUUAUAAAAGUGAUAGUCAAGUACUUUAAGAUGUUACCUUACUUGAAGAGUGAUGGUAUAUUAUCACCUUGUGGAAGCUUUCCUUUCUUAGCGGUUGUGCAUCGUGUUUGUGGCACCCUCCAUGGAUCAUCUCUUUAUGAUGAAGAGCUAUGUUCUUCUUGUGCAAAUUGUUAUACUUCAUGUGUCUCCUUUAUCCCCAAUGUGAGUUUGUAUCUCAGGACUUCCCAGGUUGCUAUUGAAUGUUUUCCUGUAGGGGUUAGUCCGACAAAAUAUACCAAUGUCUACACAAGCAGUUUUUAGUUCAGUAAUCAAACUAGACUCCAUGUCAAAUCAGAUUAAGGAAGGCUAUUUAACCUAAGCACCAUGCUUAUUUUAAAAGCCAAUAGAAGUAUGUACAGUACUUCCAAACUAACACUUACUAGGAUAAACAUAGAUAACAUGCUGGCUUUUAUAGAGAUCUACUUAAGUGGAGAAAUAGUGUGACUAAUAUUUAUCAAAUUGAGCAUGUCUCAAAGGUAAAGACAACCAACAUAGCAACAUGGCAAAUGAUGUUUUAUGUAAAGUACUCCCCCAAGCUUGAAUUUUGCAAAAUUCAAGAUUGGAUGAAUUUAAUUCAAUGUUGCAUGAUGAUUGGUUGGGCAUACCUUGCGCUUGUCAUUCCUCGGAUCUUCUUGCUCCAAUCCUGGAAAGGUUAGUGACAAGAAUACCCGAAGGAAUAUUUAUCCUUAUAUGCUGAAUACACAAGGUAAUGUUGCAAAUAAUUAACAGCUCAUGUUACGAUCUGAUAAGUGUUUGUUUUAGGAUACUAAGCUUGUCCUUGGGAAACCAUCAAUCAACUCAACGAGAUCUGCAAUAUUUAUUAUAGACAUAUGCAUCGACAACCGCCCUUUUAAAGUUUUUUAUAAAUAGAAAGGAAGAGGGGGUUGGAGAUGUCAAAUGUGGUAAGGUUGGAGAGACCAAUUGAUUGGGGAGAUGUUUUAUAUGAGCAAGGACUUGGUGAGGUAUUUAUGAAAUAACUUCCAUGCUCACUGUUGUUUCUCUCAUUCUCAAAAUCCAAGGAUGAUUCUUCAUGAAUGGUGAUAGCACAUGGAUUUUAUCCAUCCAUUCAAUGGUGAUAGCACAUGGAUUUUUAAUGCCCUCUAGCCAUUGAUGUUGCUCUUCUCGAUCCUCCUUGUGGUCUUGGUGACUCUUAUGAAUGGGAUGUCUAGAGAGAUUCAUAGGAUCAUCGGGAGAUUCAAGAGAAAGAGCAUAGGAGAAAUUAUUAGGCUUAAGGAUGGGUUGGAUAGCCGAAUCAUGGGAUUGGGAUGUUUGGCAAUUGGCUAUUGAAACUUCCUUUCCUCGUCUGGGAGAUGAUUCCUUCUCUAUCUCUAAGAUUUUUCUAUGAAGAUUAGUGCAAGAAGGAUGUCCACGAAUGAAGACAUUCCUUGCUUUACUAAUAGAUAAAGAAAGAAAAACUCUACCAAAGGUUAUAUGAUUAAUACCAAUGUGAAAAUAUUGAGGAAAAACAUGGUCUUGUAGGGCUAGGUUUAAACCAGAAUUUAUAGAAAGAUUAAAAGAUUCCCUAGGUGUAGCUAAAAGUUCAUUAUCUUCUUGAUUAAAAGAUAGGACCUCGGCUAUAGAAAAGGGUUGGUUUUGACCUAUUGCAAUCAACUCCGGACACAGAUCAUAAUUAGGGGCAGGACUUGUUGACUCCCAUGGUCUAUGGCUGGUCUCCGAAGGUGCAAAAAAUUCAAUAAUAGGUAUGGAGUUUAAGUUAUCCAUAAAGAUGGAAAAAAUAAAAAGAUAAAAGAAUAAAAGUAUAAAAGUAUAAUACAAGAUAAUAGCAAGACUUAAAGUUAUCUCAGCAAACCGUAUUUCUCCCCGACAACGGCGCCAGAAAUGAUUGUUGAUAUUUGGUAACGCAAUAAGGAAUUGAUCCGCAAGCGCACGGAUAUCGGUGAGCAUUUCAUCCGGGAGGUUAUCCAGAGUAUCGUAUUUAUAUUUUUACCACUGGGAGAAAGACUACAUCUGACUAACCAAAUCUAUUGCUACUACCCUUUAGGCUACAAAGAAUGUUUCUCGAUGUGAGCGAUGUAUAGAGAAGACUGCAACCGUAGUCUCGUUCUAACCUUGGUAAGGAUGAUCUACUGUUUUAUUAGGGAAGCUUACGGAAUCUAGACACCACAGAGGAUGCUCGACCCGCACCUAUAAACCUACCCGUCCUGCUAACGAGAUGUGGGAUGCAAAGGUAACUCGGAAAUGUCACGUUCCUUGCUACUACCACGGUCCAGCUGGUCAGGGGAUAUCUAUGAGUACCCUUGCCCAAACACCACGUUUACGCUAGCAAUGAUUACUCUAAACUCAACCGGAAGAGAUUAAAGUAAACUCAUAAACCAAAGAACAAUAAAACAAUAACUUACUAGAAUUAGAAGUCGAAUUACUGAAGAAUCCUAGGAGCAAGCUUUAGGUUAGGAGAACUUGAUCCCGCAGGUACAACUUCAGAGUAGACACCGACAGGCCGGGCUUCCUCCGAUCUACACCUCCACUUUAUCUCUCUCAAUCUAGUAGAAACUAGAAGAUCUAAUUCUACUCACAUUGGUGCUAAGCCUAAAAGAAAUUUUAUUUAGAGGAGAGGUAUUCCUUCGAGGGCUCCUCUCAACUCUAUGAUGAACUUGUCUCCUCCAGGGGCCAGGGGGUCUGGUUUUAUAGUCCCCUCAAGUGAACGUGAGCCAUUGGAUCAAAUCGACAUUGAUUGGACUGUUAUCCUUGAUCCUUUAGGUCGGUGGAGCGUAAUCCCCAAAGAGAGUCCUGAUUGGACUCUGGGACAGGGCGGGCGCCCAAGGGGGGAGGGCGGGCGCCCUGCCCUCGGGCCCGUUCGUUCCCGUGGCUUCUGGAGUCUUCUAGAUGACAGAAAAUUGUGCGGCACGUUAAUAUCUCUAUGUAAACCCGACGUGUGGGCCUUUCUCCCAUAUUUCCUGAUAACCCCCUGCAGAAAUAGACAAACACCAAAACUCGUGGAAUUUUGUCAGAUAAAACCCUAAGUCUGGGUGUUGGUUGCAUUUGGAUCCUUUUCUUUAUUGAUUUGAUGAUUAUAUUUGGUACUUAAGGACCAUAAACACACCCCUUUUGGGAUGUACUGUUAUGUAACCAUGCCCUUUGGGCUUCAAAACGCCGGGGCAACGUACCAGCGGUGCAUGCUCCAUGUUUUCAGAGAACACAUAGGGUCGACGGUCGAGGCAUACAUCAACGACAUUGUCGUCAAAUCAAAAAGGCAAGGUGACCUGAUUUAGGACCUUGAGAUCGCAUUUAGCUGCCAGCGUACUAACAAUAUUAAGCUGAACACCGAAAAAUGUGUCUUUGGCGUGCCUCGAGCCAUGCUUUUAGGAUACAUAGUCUCCCAGCGUGGCAUCGAGGCCAACCCCGAGAAAGUAUCGGCCAUCACCAAAAUGGGGCCGAUUCGAGACGUCAAGGGUGUGCAGAAGGUAACAGGCGUCUGGCAGCACUCAGCCGCUUCAUCUCACGGCGGAGGGAAAAAGCGUUACCACUGUACCGACUUCUAAAGAAAGCCGAGCGCUUUGUGUGGACCAUCGAGGCUGAGGAAGCUCUCGACAAACUCAAGAGAAUUUUGACCACCGCUCCGAUCCUUAUGCCUCCUCAACCCACAGAACCUUUGCUCCUUCAGGGACUGCCACAGGACUAGCGGAUCCUUCUCCGCCAUGUACUCGCACUUCAAGUCAGGGUGAAGGUGGUGUCGCAAUUAAUGCAACGCCUUCGCCUUGUCCUGCUUUGUGCGCUCAUCCUUGUAAGCUUCAGGCUGAACAAUGGUAUGAUCGAGGCCCAUGCCAUCGAGUCUGAUCUCGAUGUCAGUCACCCAAGUGAGGUAGUUGCUGCCAUCCACGGCGAGCAUCUUGAAAUCCCUCUUUUGCGAUGUCCGACAUUCCUGCACAAUUAAUGUGCAAGGUUAGUAGAUAUCAGUGCGUAAUCUUCAGGAUUAUGACUUAAUAUAGUCUUCAGGACUAUAUAAUUUUGCCAGGUGUAAUCUUCAGGAUUACUUUGCAAAUAAAUAUUAAGUAUUGCAAUAAAGUAAAUAUACAGAAUUAAAUGCAAUAAAUAAUUGUAGAAAAUAAAUAAUAGCAACAAUAAUAAUAAUAACAAAUAUGGCGGACUUCCGGCUGCACAUCAAUCACGGACUUCAGGCCGUGUUGUUUUUUAUUAUAUUAUAGUAGGCUUCGCGCCACUAUUUUACACAAAUAAUAAUAAUAUGCGCUGCCCAUCUUAAAUAGGCUGCUGGGCCAAAUUCAUCCUCCAUGGGCUAAAGAGAUUGGCCCAAUCAAUCGUAGCCGUUCAUCACGAUGGAUGGCUCAGAUUUGCCCAGAGCUUAUAUAAAUAGAGUGGUGAAAACCCUAACCCUAUUUUCUUCCCCACUUUCUCUCUCUUCCUUAUCCAUUCUUCUUCUUUAGGAAAACAGACAAAGGGGGAAAAGUGGCCAUGGCAGGCGGCUCUGCCUUCCUGGCGCAACUGGCCGGGGGCGCGCGGCCUCCUCGCCGAGCGUAGGCCGGCCAGGGGCGUGCGCCCCCUAGGCUCGGGCGAGGCCAGCCAGGGCGCGGCAGUCCAGGGGCGCACGGCUUGCGGCGGCGCCUGGCACGGCACCCCAGCGGGCGUGCGGCCCCGCAUCGGGUGGCCAUGGCGCGGUGGCGGCGGCACGGCGCCCACGGCCGGUCUGGCGCAACGGCAUGGCGCUCGGCUCGCGGCCCCGGCGGCGCGGCCUGCGGCACGGUAGGUCGGCCAGGCGCUCGGCCACCCCCAUGGCGGCGCUGCUCUAGUGGCCAGGACCGUGGCCGGCUCGUGCGGGCCCCGGGCCCCAGUGGACAUGGGAGGGAGUGCGCGGCCCCUUGGCGAGCGUGGCCUAGCGGCGCAGCGAGCCGGCCAUGGCGCGCGGUCCCCGCGGUUCGUGGCCCUUGUGUCUCGCACAACGGCCGAGCCCAGGGCUCACGCGGUCGUGACAGAGGCUCGCACGGCCGAGCUCGGCCAGGAGGCGUGGCUUGCAACCGGCCUAGUGGGUGCGGCGGCCGUCCCGCACAUGUAUUUCCGGCGGUGAGCGCUAGGUGCGUUUUCGUCAGCACAUCUUUAGGUCAGCGACGGUUUGGUUUGGUAUGCACAUCUUCAGGAUGGUAGUGAGAUAGUCGUGCUCGUGUCUUUUGUGUGUGCUUGUUCAUGAACAAGAAAAUCGAGCAUCAAUAAAUCAAUUUCUCACCUUCUUACCCUUAGCUCGGUAGAACUCGUGCUGAUAAUGUGUUAGAAAUCAUUCAGUGGAUGCUCACAAAUUUCACUCGCGGACAGAGAUAGAGAGUUGUGGAGAAUGAGAGGCUUUGUAUUUCACUUUCACUUUUCACUUGUACGUCUCAUCAGCUGAAAGGGAUUCCCUAUUUAUAGAGGGACAAAGAGAAUAAGUACAAGUUUGUACAGUGUUUGAAUCCCUUGAAAUUCCUCUCCUCCUUCAUUAAUUUGGCCACCAUUCAAAGUCCAUAUUCACAUACUGUUACUUGACUUUGAUUUUCAAUAGUGAUAUAUAUUCUCAUACCAUGUUUUAUUCAUUUAUCUCCAAUGUCAUACUGUCCAUUGUUUACAUACUUUGCUAGGAAUCAUAUUUGCAUGAUUAACAUGGACAUGGUUUUUGUGUAUAGGAAACUGCCUUCUCCAAAAUUGAAGAGAAAAUUGAGUUGGAAGCAAAUUUAAUUUCAAAAGAACAAGAAAGGCAGAUUCUUCAUGAUACCUACAAGGAAACCAUUGGAUGCAAGAGCAGGAGAGGUCCUGGACAUGGAUACUUGGCAAAGUAUCCAACCCAAAGCCAACUUAUUAAUGAACAAAUUGAAGAGCAAGCUUGUUCAGCAGCCGCGCUAAAGAAGAGUAGAGAGAUGCAAGCUGAGGUAGAGAAGUUAAAAGAACAAGUUAUUGUUCAAGCUGCUGAGAGGGAGAGUGACAAGGAAAAAAUUCGGCAGAUGCAACAUCAACUGGAGACUACAAGUAGCAAGAUUAGAGAAGACCUGAGGCAAGAGUUUCUUUUACUACUCAAUCAACAAAAUCAAACACCGCCUUUGGUAAUACUACUACUACUACUUCAUUUUCACCAACCUGUUUGAUUUAAUUAAAGCCUGAUUGCUAAUGUUUUUCCUUAUAACUCCAAUGCAAGAAUGAUGCACCGACCACAACAACACCUCAGCAUGCAGAAACAGCCACACAUCCUUGAGAACACACAAAUAUGGUUAGUACAAAUGAAGGUGUAGAAUUAGCACAUGUACUAUUUUUGAUAAAUGCAAUGUAUUGCAUACCUACAUUUAAUCUGACAUAAUGUGUGAAUCUUUUAUUUAAAUGAAGGCUGCUAUAGAUUCUUCCAUUCCAGCAAUUAAUGAACCUUAUGUUGUUCCCACUCCCAUCCAAGGAUCAGAACAUGUGCAAUAGGUAAUAUACAUCAAAUUUGCUAAGAGAUGGUUGCUCCUUUAGAUCUACUGGUUUUUACACAGUAUAGCAGACUGACAUAAUGUGUGAAUCUUUUUUUAAAAUGAAGGAUGUUAUAGAAUCUUCACUUCCUACACAUGAUGAACCUGAGGUUGCUCCCACUCGCAUCCAUGGAUCAAAACAUGUGAAAGAGGUAACAAUAUGCAUAACAGUAAGCUCCUUACUAGGUAACUGUACUUAAGCAAACUUCAACAUGAUAGUACAGUAAAAAUGCAUGUUCUGUCAUUCUAGCUCUUCUUCAAUUGUGAAAGAUCAGUGGAUUGUUUCCUGCUUUGAGAGAGAGAGAGAGCUUAACUUCCAUGCACUUGAAUAGGUUCUUAGAAUUGCUAAGUGGUGAUUGCUCCUUCAGAUCUCUUGUUUUUUACAGACUAUAUCAAGCAGUGCAUUCAUUUAAUUUGACAUAAUGUGAAAUCUUUUUUUACAUGAAGGCUGGUAUAGAAUCUUCCCUUCCAACAAAUAAUGAACCUGAUGUUCCCACUCCCAUCCAAGGAUUAGAACAUGUGUUAUACAUGUAUGUUUGUUCACUUAGUUAACAUGAGCAAUCUGGAGUCCAUGCCUUAUGUUUUUAUAGUUUGGCUUCAGUAUCUAUUCUAUUUGUUGAAUCAAAGAUUUUAUUGUCAAUCAUGUGCUCUCUAUGUUUGAUUCAAACUAUGUGAUGAACUAUAUAUAUUACUAAUGCAAGUUAUUUUGACUUUUCUAGGAAGAUCCACCCUGAGGGAGUCUUGGAAGCUAAAAUGAAUCAAAUAUUGUGCAAGGAUAAAGAUGUCAUGUUAAUAUGUGCAAAGACACAAUUAUUUUUGUUUUUGCUUGCCUAUUUGUAGCAUAAGUCAAUGGAUCAUAAUGCAGUUCAACUUUGUAGUUACCUAUUUUCGGAUAUAGAUAGGCAUUUCACUUCCUUACGUUGUACAAACUAUUGAAUGGUUAUGACUCAAGUUAUUAAUAUCAUUGCCUUUCUGUGGCAUUGCUCUAUGAAAUUUUAUGAAAUUUUGUGCAACAAAUUCAAUGCAUUUAUUGGUUGUACUUUGAAUUUGAUGUGGAUGCAAUAGUUUGAAUUGCUUCUAAACUCAUGUCGAUGCAAUAGUUUGUAUUGCAUCUAAGCUUUGUUGAUGUGAUAGUUUGUAUUGCAUCCGACCUCAUGUCGAUGCAAUAGUUGUAAUUGCAUCCAACCUCACAUCGAUGCAAAGGUUUCAAUUGCAUCGAAUCAAAAUGGUGAUGCAAUAGAUUAUAUUGCAUCGAACCUAGAAUGGAUGUAAUAUAGUUUAUUGCAUUGAACAAUAGCCGUUGCAAUAAAUGUGUUGCAUCAACAUGAUUUCAAUGCAAUAAGCUAUUAUAUCUCUCAAUUUUUGAUGCAACAAACAAUGGAUGGUCGAUGCAAUAGCUACUCCUCACAUUGCCCAUACGAAACCGAUGCAAAAGGCUAUUGCAUCAGGACCUCUUGCAUCGGCUGGCAUCAAACACGAAACUGAUGCGAGACGUGACUCUUGCAUCUAUUUUAGACCUAUAACAUCAAAAAAGUGGCCGAUGCAACAGAGUCAAAAUCUAGUAGUGUACAUAGAGGUGCUCGAGCCCGAAGUGUUUUCGGAGCCACCCAAGGUUGACACUUCCGACACUACGCCUGCCUAAGCCAAGCCUCGGUGCAUAACCCCUAUUUUUGAUGUCACUAUAUAUAUGUUGUGCAUUUAUGUUGCAGGAAUAAUAUGAAAUCCACAUGCAUAAAUAUAUCUAUCAUAUGAGUCUUUCCAGUACAAGAUUGAGUAGCUACUUUGCUUAGGCCUAUCGGUAGCAUGGGUAACCUGCCGUUACUCACAAAGUAGGUGAAUACUACUUACUCAUGAUAAAGAGAAUGGAAAAUGAUGACCAGACAGGUGAUGAGGAUAUCAACACCACACCGAUUACAGGUCCUCUUACUCGUGCUCGUGCUCGAUAACUUAAUCAUCAAGUAAGUUCCCUCUUGAACUCCUGUCCAUCUUGUUUAAACCUUAGAAACAUGUGCACUCUUGUUUUGAUUAGGAUCCAAGGAAAAGACUGAAAUAGAAAAGGAUUCGCAUUGGAUGGAUUCGGACUACAGCAUAGCUCCAAAUUGUGAUGGUCAUCACGAUUGAAUGCAGAGUUAGAUUUGGGCAUAUGGAUCCCAUUUCAUAUCCAUAUCGUCUUGGAAGCGGCAGCAGUGAUCAAAAUACCACUAAGAGGUUUUUCUAUCUUGGGUGCUGCGUCACCUUAAGUUAGCCCAAUGGGCUAUGUAUCAUCUUAGGUCUAUCAGGGACGUGUCCUAGGAUUUGAGCAUGACCCAAACACUUUUUUUGUCAUCCUCCUCAUGUCAUAUACCCCUUGGUGGCCGCCAGUAACACUCAGGUUUUGAUUAGUUCAAGUUUAGCCUUUGCUAUUUGAUUGUAAAAGCGUGUGCUGAUCCAGCCACUCGUCUUCUUGUUUCAGAACCCACUUCAUUGAAGAUUGAGUUCGAAACCUUUAUUUACAUAUAGUAAUUCUGCACUUGUUCUACUUGUUCUUACUGGCUCUUCAAUUGCUUGCAGGAUGAGUGCCCUAGUGGCCGGUUGUCGUGCUCCAUAAGAUCAUGACAGCCAUUAGGGGUGAUGUAUCGGUUGCUAAGGCGCGGCCAUGGAGGGUUGUAGUCAGGCUGUGAAUGUCAACUCCUUUCACUAAUCAAGUUAUCUAGCGCCUCUCAUCGAAAAAUCGGGCGAAAACCCUAGCAGGUUCAUAUCAACAGGGAUAUGGUUUGGGUACUGGUGGGUGUGAGAAGUUAUGUCCCGCGGCAAUGGGGCCUAGCUUGGUUACACUAUUUUCCCUAUCCAUGUCGAUUGAGGACCAUCCAUUGUUGUGGAUGAUAGUCAGGUCAUAGACUUAUUAUCCUGAGCACAUACUUGUUUAUGGGAGCGGGAAGACUCAUUACUCUCUUGUCAUAGGUUUUGGCUCUUUUUGGACCGGCUAAUUGGAGGGGGACAGGUGGAGGUCUAAGCACCACAGUAAGGCCAGCCUUAUGUGUGGGGGCUUAGGGUCCAGGUUUGGAUGAGGACCUAGACCCCUCCACAAGAGUGGAGUGGGUUAGCCUUGCCUACACCUAGGGUGUAAGUGAGGUGUGUGUUUUGGGGUACCUAGCUGGGAUAUAUUGAUUCGUGAAUCACUAUUGUUAUCAACAGUCUGACUUGGUUAUGGUCUAGCACCAUAGUAAGAACUCGAAAGAUGGAUGUUGGUAAAAUGGUUUUGCUUGCUCAACUCUUGCUUGAAAGUAGAACAUGUGCUUAUCUAGAAUGGUUAGCUAAUGAAGUAAGAUUGAUAACUAAAUAAAAUGAAAUCUAAGUAUGAACUCUUAAUAAUGCUUUCUGCAGACUAAAUAGCACAACAUCCAUAAAGCCUUUUUCAUAAUCCUUGAGAGUUGGGAAUAUAUCCCUUUGGAUAAGUCUUGUGAGUACAUUGUAUACUCAGGGUUUAUUUUACCCUAUUACAGCUGCAGCUAGUGGGCACAAUUGGAUUUCCUUGUACCGCUUCCAUGGAAUUAUUUCUGCUAUUUAUCUAUGCACUCUGAACCUUGGUAUUGUAAUAAAUAAAUUUAGAGACUUGUUAUUGUAUGAAAUUGGAUUAAGUAUUGUAAGCUCUACUCAUUAUUGGAUUCUAAAUGUAAGCGUGGAUUGUUUCAAGUUCUCCUGUUGGGUCUGCUUGACAGAAAUAACUGAAAUAGCUAUCUUUUGGGAUACUUAGUGUCUAAGGGAAGACAAGUACUCCCAAGGUGUGGAAUUUUGGGUGGUUGUGCCACAGGUGGUAUCAGAGCCAAUAAUGGGUAUUCGAGCUUAAGAUUCUUUUCCAAAACUUAAAGUUUGACCAACAAUAUGGUUCAUCUAGGUUAGUGGCACUAUUUUAUCUAACCAUUUUCUAAAGGUACACUAACUGCGCUUCGUAUGGAUCGUUAGUAUCUGUAGUGAGAGUGUGAUGUGCCAACUUAACGUGAGAGAUGCUAUAUUCUGACUGGAAAGGCAUGAAUAGGUCGAUCCAUGGAUCAUGAAAAUCUUGCGAAAACCCCCCUCACAAUGGGUCAGUUGUGCAGGCUAAGGAGCCUAGGAAUCACCUAAAGAACAAACAUGUGUUGUCGAAGUUUAACCUUAUUUGAGAGUUCAUUAGGUGAGGUGAAAUCAAGGUGUGCAAGAUAUGUACGGAUUUCAAUAUUGCAGAUCCUUUGACAAAGGCUCUUUCAUAGCCUAAGCAUGAGGCACACUUGAGGUCCAUGGGCAUUAGAUAUCUUUGAGAUUAACUCUAGUGCAAGUGGGAGACUGUUGGGAAUACGCCCUUGAUGUAAUCAUAGAGAUGAUGAUAUUACGAUUGUAUCCAUGACAUAUGUUAUGAGUUUAAUAAGUAUCCUUUAUAGACAAACUUGUAUUAAUAAUUAUGUGUAUUGUUUGUGAAACUAUUUUACUUGUAUGGUGUCGACAGUCCUUAAGUAUCAAAUUUAAUCAUCAAAUAAAUAAAGAAAAGGAACCAAAUGCAACCAACACCCAGACUUAGGGUUUUAUCUGAUAGAAUUCCACGAGUUUUGGUGUUUGUCUAUUUCUGCAGGGGGUUAUCAGGAAAUGUAGAGGAAAGGCCCACACAUCGGGUUUACAUAGAGAUAUUAACGUGUGCGCCAAUUUUCUAUCAUCUAGAAGAGUCCAGAAGCCACAGGAACGAACGGGAGGCCGAGCGGGCCCGGGGACAGGGUGCCCGCCCUCCCCCCUACGGUGCGCGCUCUGCUCUAGCAGCCAAUCAUGCUCCACCUCAUGGAUUAUGCUCCACCGCCUUUGAGGAUCAAGGAAAACUGUGCGAUUAAAGUCGGUUUGAUCCGACGGCCCAUGUUCAUUUGGAAGGGCUAUAUAAGCAGGACCCCUGGCCCCUAGAGAGGACACCUCUACAUCCCUAUUCAUUAUUCAUAGACAGAGCAAAAGCUAGGGUUUGGAGAUGAGAUCUCUCCUCUCUUCUCUAAACUAGAGUAGAUCUAGAUAGUAGCGAGAUGGAAAGCGAGGGAGGAUUGGAGGAGAAGCCGGCCUGUCAGUUCUUCCUCCGGUUGUACUUCGCCAUGAUCAAGAUCUAAUCAAGCUUGCUCAUGGGAUGACUCUGGUAAUCUACUUCUUAUUUCUUUAUGCAAUUACUAUCCAUGUAUGUUCUGGUUCACAACUCUUUUGAGUACUUUAAUCUAUGGGACGCUAUAGAUGAGAGUCGUAGUAUAGGUGUAAGCGUGGUGCUUAGACCUAGAUUACUUGUGGAUAUCCCCUGUUAGCCGGAUCAUGUGGUAGGCCGCGUAGGUGACAGCUACGAUGGUCCUCUGUAGUCCACCUCCCGUUAGCAGGACUGGUAGGAGUCCUCGACCUUAGGUAUAAGCAUCCUCUGUGUUGUUUUAUACUUAUGGUAUGCCACAGAUAGACAUACCCCUUUGAAGUAGAGAAACCCUAGUUAUCCUCUCUAUUCUCCUAUUAUCGCCCAUAUAUUAGAUUGCUCUACUCUAUAUUCCCCCAUUAUCAUUUUAACUUUAAUAUUGUUCUUAUUCAAUUCUACCAUCUUUCCUAUUUACACCUAUCUAUCUAUCUUGGUUAAGUUAGAGCGUAGUUGGCUCUCCUGUUUCCCUGUGGAUACGAUAAAAUCUUUAACCGGGUAAAAGCUACAACGGUAUCCGUGCGCUUGCGGAUUUAUCUGUGUGCGUAUGAAUACCAUAGUACACUCUAGUGCCAUGUUGGGGAUGACAACCUAGUAUUCAAGUGGUGUUAGCAGUGUCAACAACCUUUUUGGCGCCGUUGUCGGGGAGACGGUUGCUGAGUUGACUACGAACCAGCUUAAUCAUUUUUGUAAAAUAAAAAAUAAUAUAUUUUUCCUUUUAUCCUUUGCCUCAUCUCUACUAUUCUUUCUUCUUAUCUAAUCCUUGAUUUCUGGUCUAUCAUGAAUACAAACAUGUCUAUCCAUUAGUUUCAUAGACCUACGGGCACAGAUCUCGAACCACCAAAAUCUUCAAAGCCUAUCAUGACAUCUAGUUUUGAGAUAAGCCCAGAAUACAUAGAAUUUGUUCAAAAACAAACUUUCUCAGGAGAAGGUGAGGAAAACCCAUACACACACCUAAGAGAGUUUUAUCGAGUCUGUGACCUCCUUCGCAUUGAAGGCAUGUCCGAUGAGACCUUUAAAUGGAAGCUCUUUCCGUUCACUUUAACAGGAAAAGCUAGACAUUGGUAUAAACUCAACAUAGGAAGUGCUCAUUGAGAUUGGAAGGAGCUAUACAAUAGUUUUCUUUUUAAAUAUUUUUCGAUCUCCAAAGUGGAGGAUCUUCUGAUCGAGAUUCUUUCUUUUAGACAACUAGAAGAAGAAUCUCUUGGCGAAUCAUGGAACAACUUUAUUGACCUUACUCUCACUGGCCCAAAUCUUUAUAUUCCACAAGAAGUUCUUCUAAUUCAUUUUUUUAAGGGCCUUAGUAGGGAAAAUAAGUAAACCCUUAAUGCGGCCUCUGGAGGAUCCUUCCACCGCCUAUCCGCUAGUGAAGCUUGGAAUUUGAUUGAUUUAAUGAGUGGAAAGUCUCCUAGCAUUUAUAUCCCUGAGAAAGAGAAAGAAUCAGUUCCUAGACAAGAAGAGAAAGUUUCGAUAGCCAAAUUACAACCACUUCAAUCCCAAACUUUAGCUAUCGAUCCUAAACCAUCAAUACCCCAAAAUUCUCCAAGGGAGGAAGGAAUUCUGACCUUAAAUCUUUCAGAUGCUGAUGGUUUAGACUUCUGGUUCCAUAAGAGACUUUCAAGCAGGGAUAAUUCAAAUCCUUGCAAUAAUGGUUCUCUUAGAGAAUGUCCUAGUUCCUGUUAUAAAGAAGUCGCGGGUGACAUAUCAAGUGAAGGAGAGCUAAACCAUGUAGAAGAUUCUAUCUGCUCCCCUUCCAUGUUCACAAAUUCUAAAUCCAUCCUUGACCUUAGAGACCCCUCUUAUCCCUCUCCUUUUCAGUCACAUGAUGAUCCUAGCAAUCCAUCAAGACGAUCAAACCAUGGGAGUCAUAAAGACCAUGAGGAUGACAUGUCAAGUAAUGCCAUAGAAGGAGAGCUAAGCCAUAUAGAAAAUUCUAACACCUCCCCUUUCCUGAUCACAAGUUCUAAAUGGCUAGAAUGUGUAUAAUGGAUGGACUAGGAAGAAGCCUACAUGGUUUCUGACUUUGGCUCAAUUUCAAAUGAUGAGUUCUUGACUCCCUUUGAAGAUGAGAUUCAUCCAACUACAGAAGAGGACAUAGGCGAGACCAAUCUAGGAGAAACUUCGAACAUUCAGAUUGGAGACAAAGAUAACAUUAAUAAGCAUGGAAUUUAUUUCAUAGCCACUUCGUUUACUCCAUGCUCAUAUGCAACAUCUUCCCAAUCUAUUGGUCUCUCCAACAUCACUACAUUCGAGAUCUCCAACCCCCUCUUCCUUUCUAUUUAUAAAAACUUUUUAAGAGUGGUUGUUGAUGCAUACGUCUAUAAUAAAUAUUGCAUAUCUAGUUGAGUUGAUCUUGAUAUAGGUCAGCAUUGGAAGGGAAACCACUUCGCCGACAUAAAUUGAUGGUUUCCCAAGGACAAGCUUAGUGUCCUAAAAUAAGCACUGAUCAGAUCGUAACAUGAGCUUUUAAUUAUUUGCACCAUUACCUUGUGUAUUGAGCAUAUAAGGAUAACUGUAAAAAUAUUCCUUCAGGUAUUCUUGUCACUAACCUUUCUAGGAUUGGAGCAAGAAGAUCGGAUGAAUGACAAGCACAAGGUAUGUCCAACCAAUCAUCAUACAACAUUGAAUUAAAUUCAUCUAAACUUGAAUUUUGCAAAUUUCAAGCUUGGGGAGUACUUUACAUAAAAACAUCCUUUGCCAUGUUGCUAUUUUGGUUGUCCCUACCUUUGAGACAUGCUCAAUUUAUUAAAUACUAAUCGCACUACUUCAUCUCCACUUGAGUAGAUCUCUAUAAAUUCUCUCAUGCUACCUUUAUUUGCUUUAGUAUAUAUCUAGGUUUGGAGUAGUUUCAUUUAUCUCUUAAAUAAGCAUGGUGCUUAGUUUAGGAAUGAUGAUCUUACUUCUAAGGGAUUUUAAAUUAAGCAUGGUGCUAAGGUUAAAAUGCCCUCCCAAAUCAAAUUAGACAUGGUGUCUAGGUUGAUUUUUGAGCCGAUAGUAUGCUAUAGUAGAUAUUGGAUAUUUUGUUGGACUAACCCCUGCAGGAAAACUUUCAACAUCGACCUGGGAAGUCCUAAGAUAAACUCACAUUGGAGACAAAGAGAGAGACACAUGAAGUUUAACAAUUUACACAAGGAAAACAUAGCUCAUAAGAGAUGUUCCAUGGAGGGUGCCACAAACACGAUGCACAACCGCUAAGAAAGGAAAGCUUCCACAUGGUGAUACUGUACCAUCACUCUUCAAGUAAGGUAACAUCUUAAGGUACUUGACUAUCACUUUUUUAAGCUUCUCUUUGGUUCUGGCGUUCAAAUGAAUAAAAGAGACAAACAUGUAUGAUUUACAACUCUAGAUUAGCCAACCCAAUCGAUUCAACAUGUUUAGUCCUUCCACCUUUGUGAUCCCACACUCCUAAUCAUAUGAGCUAAAAUGUUGCACACCCAAUCUUUGGAAGAUAUAUAAAAAAACAUAAAUAUAGAUAGAUUAUCUUUCCAUUAGGUUGAGCGAUCUGAUCUGACAAAUGUUUUAAAUGCUACACUCAUGAUAUUAUUAUCCAUCAACUUUGUCUUGCUCACUAUGCUUAAGGUUAGAGAAGAACAAAUACACUUUUGGUUCUGUUGGUGUUUUCCACCAACAGGCCCAUGCACUUGAUCUCUGCCUUGUCUCUAUGACCAGGUGAAGGACCUGGAUCUACGAGCACAAACACACUGAGCAGGAUGCUACCAACGCCGCACUUCAAACUGAUGGGCAAACGAAGAACAUGGGUGACACCGUAUCAAGAGGUGCAGACAUCAAGGUCCACACCUGAGUCAAAUGACGCACAUAAAGAAUGAACACGGUGAGAAGUCUUGUUCAGAAGACUUAAAACAUUGAACUCUCGCCGAAAGGUAAAAUUGGUAGUUAUCCAUAUUUAUCCUUUCUGCAUUCUCUUUUUUCUUAAAUUAUUUACUUUCCUUAAAUAGCUUGUUAGUUAAUCAUGCUAUCUUGAAAAGAAAUUAAAAAUGUUAAAAACAGUAAGCCCCAUGUGAGUAUGCUCGUGGCAUAAAACCCAUAAGUACAUUCACUGUGGUGGCGUAAAAAUAAAAAUAUUUCUGUCCUAUAAAAAUGAAAAUAUAAAAAUAAAUUUAUGAUCCUACCAUAGAGAGUAACAUUUAUUGAGAAUGCUCAACAUGAUAAAGGCUAGAUAUUUAUGCUAACACUUAACUAGUUCCACAAAGCUUUGUUGUCUAUUUGAGCUCCACAGAAUUCAAC
rnacentral:lncRNA from 1 species